AGGGGGGGAGGUGUCUGGCUGUUGAAAAGAUUUGUCAAGAAUUCUAUUUCCAUCAUUUUAAGAUCACUCCGACUAAAUUCCAAUUAAUUUAAUCGUAGGACAAUCAACAUAAAAAUUUCUAACGGGCAUUCCGAGUGAAAGUCACGGCUUGUAAAUCUACGGCGGCAGAGAAGGUAGGCAUUCCGUGAUGACUCGACGAGCAGGCGAGGAUUGGAAUUCCGAGGAAAGUAUACGGAAAAUGUUUCUUUCGCGGAAGAGGGAGAGAUAACGGAUGUCCUUCAGAGACGCUUUGGAAAGCCCGAAAUAAUGGAAAACGAAGUCUAAUCUAAAGAAACGAAUACCUCUCGAGAUGAUCAGUAAGUCAGUCGACGAUCAGUCAGGAGCUUGUGUAAACCGGGACAUUGCGGAAAACAUGUUUGCGAGAUACCUAAAGAUUACGCCAUUACUAUUCCUCGGCUGUAUCAUCGCGCAAUCGAUCUGUUUAAUCGAAGAAACGAUGCCAAACGACAAGAUUAUCAAGGAUUAUCAUGUAGUAACGAAAAUGUUAUGGUCGGAUCCGACGACAUUGGAUUCUAAGAUUAUCUUACCGUCGAAUUUGGAUCAACGAAAGUAUCCGAUAUGGAAGAUCCGCAUGUAUCAUGGACUCGAGAUAAAUCCGCUAGAAAUUCGGCCGUUAAAGGAGGACGACGGCGGGGAGAAACUGAGAGGCCAGCAAGUGAACACCAGCGACAAGGUUUCACGGCGUGAAGUGCCUCCUGUUAACAUGGAGGUCAGCACCGACAGUGGUGACCACCGAGAGCGGAAUUACGUCAGGGUCGCGCAAGGUGAAAUCUCUCGUGCGACUAUCGAAAGGAACCCGCCAACCAAAGAGGAGAAGGAGAUCGACCUGAGUUUCCUCGAUGACCUUGGCGGUCUAGCUUCCUUUCUGCCUGAUGCUGAGAAUAGCGAUAUUCACACGCAUCUAAACGAAGAAGCAUCUUCUGGCUAUAAUGGCUUCUUCGACUGGUUUCUUUCGAUAUUCCGAGGUACUCCUGUCAUUGAUGAAACAAAAGAGGUCGAGGGUUCAUAAAUCUGUCGUGUCGAUCUCUAGCAAUAUACUGAAUAAACUAGCUAAGACGAAAAUGCUGAGACGUCAAUAUGCUUUUGUACUAUCAACGAACGUUGAUCCUGAAAUUUAAAAUUGGAUCAAUCCAAAGUGACGUUCAUAUGCGAGAUAACCGUUGUACUCUCCAUUGAAUCAUUUCAAGAUUCCUUCUCCAAUUAUUGCAUGUAAUUAUUAUCAAUCUGUGGAAAAUAAUCUUGCGCAAAUAAUGCGCGAAAUUAACGCUGCCAAUCCACCAAUUCGAGAUGCCGUCGACUUUCAUGGAGAAAUGGCGACGUAAUUGAAAGUAUGAUAGAAAGUCAAAACAGUACAAUGAAACAGUACGAUGUGUAUUGGAGGUGUCAUGUAGGUGAGAAUACGUUUUCGAAGACGGACUCGAACAUUACAAUAAAAGAAACUCCAGAGGAGUCAUCCGAAAUUAAGAACAGUUCCAAUGUAUCCCAGCGACGAUCUCUCCUAAUCUCUCGGCACCGGUGAAACUGGUCAUCUACGACGACUGCGACGACAGCCAUUAGUCGCGUAACUUUCGUGCAAAAAUCACAUAAUGUUAUUAAUUAGAAUCGACAUUUGCGCGUGACAGGUCCGCCGCUUUCGCGAGGCACUUUGUCGAGGCGCGAAUCGAUUUUUCCAACUGUGCAGGUACGAGAAUAAACAUUGAGUAAUCGACCUCUUAUCUCGAAGGUAAAAGCGAAUCGGGUCUUAUUGAGCGCGAAUUAUCGCGCUGAUUAUAUCACUUAUAGCUAAUUGUUUACGAGCUUCUAUUAUGAUUUCUUGUUUGUAAUAACCGAAGAAAAUAACCAUCGAUUAAACACAUAGAUGAAGGGAAGAGAGAAGAGGGAGAUAAUCUUAAAUCACGCAAUCGCUCCACCAUCGGGGUGGGCAAAGAGUUACAUAUAAUAUACUCGCGACUUACAUAUAAUAAUAAAUGAUUUAUGUGCACGCGCGCUAAGAGAACUGCGUCAUAUCAUAUACAUGUAACAUUACACAGCGAGUACAUUCACUCGCAUCUGAGAUGAGAAGCGAUGUAAAAUUUAUGUAGCGUUGGAUUUAUGCGUUCGCGAUUCGCUCUGAUACCUUCGCCCUGAUAUCGUCGCAAAGAUGUACUUAGCGAUCGCGAUAAGGAAAAGAAAAACGGAUUCCCACCAGAUAUCACCGAAACUUAAUUCUCUUUGCGAGCUUUCUACGAACGAAACGGAGAAUCAUAUUUCAAAUCAUCUUUUUUACAUAUCUGUCGUAAAUGAGUAUCUGGUCGUAUAUUUACGCGCGACCCGCAUAAUUAGAGUAUCGAAUUUCUUAGAUGGAUCGAUCGAGUUUUUAACAUGCUUAAUUGAUGACAAAUUAAGCAUAUUAAUUGAGUUCUUAUUAUAUAGAGCCUUCAUAUAUACGGAAUGAAUCAUUUAUUUUUUAGCCGAUUGAUUUGUACGAAAUAUGUCAACUUUG